CUCCUGGGAAGUCCUCGUGUUGCACCCCUCUCUUUUUCUUCGCAUUUUUUUCGUUGGGGUUGUCGUUUACGGCGGUCCAGCACGCUCGCUUUGUAGGCUUAGCGCGCCCCAGGCCAAAAACACGAGCCGCGGAUCUCGUUUUGGGUGCUAAAGCGUCGCGGCGACGUCGAAAUCCGCGGAAGCCCCUCGGGUUGCACCUCUCCGGCGUUAAGGUGCAUCGUUGCGUUGGGAUCCUUUUAUAAGAAUUAAACGCGCUUAUGAUGAUGGGUGCGAUCAUACCAACACUAAUGCACCGGA
rnacentral:rRNA from 1 species